UCCCCGGUAGCUCAGUUGGUAGAGCAAGUGACUGUUAAUCACUGGGUCGGCGGUUCGAGCCCGUCCCGGGGAG
rnacentral:tRNA from 3 species